UCUGAACGAACGCUGGCGGCAGGCUUAACACAUGCAAGUCGAACGAGAAAUUAUCUUCGGAUAAUGGACAGUGGCAGACGGGUGAGUAACGCGUAGCAACCUACCUAGUAGUACGGAAUAGCCCUUGGAAACGAGGUGUAAUACCGUAUACGCCCUUCGGGGGAAAGAUUUAUCGCUAUUAGAUGGGGCUGCGUUGGAUUAGCUAGUUGGUGAGGUAAGAGCUCACCAAGGCAACGAUCUAUAGCGGGUCUGAGAGGAUGAUCCGCCACACUGGGACUGAGACACGGCCCAGACUCCUACGGGAGGCAGCAGUGGGGAAUCUUGGACAAUGGGGGAAACCCUGAUCCAGCCAUGCCGCGUGAAUGAUGAAGGCCUUAGGGUUGUAAAAUUCUUUCCAUAGGGAAGAUAAUGACGGUACCUAUUAAAGAAGCCCCGGCUAACUCCGUGCCAGCAGCCGCGGUAAUACGGAGGGGGCUAGCGUUGUUCGGAAUUACUGGGC
rnacentral:rRNA from 1 species